rnacentral:lncRNA from 1 species
CUGUCAGCUGAUUGACGGCCUGGAGUACCUGCAUAGCCAGGGCAUUGUGCACAAGGACAUCAAGCCGGGGAACCUGCUGCUCACCACCGGUGGCACCCUCAAAAUCUCCGACCUGGGCGUGGCCGAGCACUGCACCCGUUCGCGGCGGACGACACCUGCCGGACCAGCCAGGGCUCCCCGGCUUUCCAGCCGCCCGAGAUUGCCAACGGCCUGGACACCUUCUCCGGCUUCAAGGUGGACAUCUGGUCGGCUG